rnacentral:rRNA from 1 species
ACGGAGGGUGAAAGCGUUACUCGGAAUCACUGGGCGUAAAGAGCGUGUAGGCGGGUAAAUAAGUCAGAAGGGAAAUCCUAUAGCUUAAAUAUAGAAAUGCUUUUGAAACUGUAUACCUAGAAUGUGGGAGAGGUAGAUGGAAUUUCUGGUGUAGGGGUAAAAUCCGUAGAGAUCAGAAGGAAUACCGAUUGCGAAGGCGAUCUACUGGAACAUUAUUGACGCUGAGACGCGAAAGCGUGGGGAACAAACAG